rnacentral:rRNA from 1 species
UACGUAGGGUGCGAGCGUUGUCCGGAAUUAUUGGGCGUAAAGGGCUCGUAGGCGGUUUGUCGCGUCGGGAGUGAAAACACCGGGCUUAACUCGGUGCUUGCUUUCGAUACGGGCAGACUAGAGGUAUGCAGGGGAGAACGGAAUUCCUGGUGUAGCGGUGAAAUGCGCAGAUAUCAGGAGGAACACCGGUGGCGAAGGCGGUUCUCUGGGCAUUACCUGACGCUGAGGAGCGAAAGUGUGGGGAGCGAACCGG